AUCUUGAUUCCAGUUCUGACUGCAGCGUAAUUCUGGCAGGAACAGAGCAGUACUGCAGUAGAGGACAUGGAUGAAAAGUUAAUUAAAGAUUCCCUUUAAUCCCAUUCUGCUCCUGGAAAAAAACCUGGGAGUUUAAAAGUGCCUUCCGUGCCUUCUCUAGGAGGCACCUUUCCAGGAGUUUGGAGAGCCAUGGUGCUUUUGUUUGCCUGAAGCUUUUUACAAAUAAUUAAGUACAGAAUGCCUCGUACAGUAACUCAUGCCCAUGAGUUGCCCAAUGACUUGGGCAUUUAAAUAUGAUAUAAAUUUCACAAAAUCAAGCUUCACAACUCUGUUUCAAAUCAGUUCAUUGCUUACCUUGCAAAAUAUUUGUAGCGAUUCCUUCCACUAACUUCUGGAUCUUCAUACACCAUUUGGGGUAUCUGAAGAGAAGUUUGACCUCUAAAAGGCAAAAUACAGCCACGAGGUCUUUAUUUUAAAACCAGGUGGUCUACCAUGGCAAUCAGUGAGGGAAUGGGUGGAACCUAAUCCUUUGAAGGCUAUAUCAGGAUUGCCAAUAGAUUUCACAACUACUUCAUACUCCAGUCUUACUCUUCUCAACCUGCAACCUUGAAAAAAACAAAAUUGAGUGAUCCUGCCUCUUCCAAGUCCUUGACUUAUAUUUGCUGACUUUGCUGAAAUAAACGAGCAUUCAUUCCUGAUAACCUUGCAGAAGCAAUACAACUACUGAGAAGACAGCUGGAAAAUAAUUCUAUCAUCUUCAGUAUCAGCAGCACUGUCAACAAGUGCAGGCUGAAAUAGAAGGGAUGUAUUUCUCUCUCUCUCUUUUUUUUAAUUAAUUGCAAGACAUUUUGCAAAUAUAUGUUGCUGAAAUGUAAAUGUAAUUUUAAAACACUUCAGGUGUCAAAAAGGUUCCUGUUACAGAAUAACAAGCAAAACAGAAGAAGCCACUGAGGUUUUCAUGUGCUGGGGACAGUUUCAAUUGCUGAAAAUCAGAAAAGAAAAAAAAAAACAUCUCCAAAAGUAUUACUUUCUUGUAGAAAUGAGAAGAGUAUGCUUUCAAAACUGAACGGAAAUAGGUGUGAAAUCCUUCAUAUCACUCUUAAAACAUCCUUGGUUACUCUCUGGCAAGUGGUAAAACUCAGUUAACAAAACCAGAGAAUACACUGUAUGAAGAGCCCGUGGUCUAAAGUUAGUUUGUUAAGGCAGCAAAAAACCCUGAAAACAAGUGGCCAGGCUAAUGACUGCAUUAUUGAGUGUUGCUACAAGAAGACUCUCAAAUGAUUGCUUAAAUAUUUGCUGAAUCAGAAGUGCAAAUUGCAAUGCCAGGAGAAAAGUCAUACAAAAACCUCUGAACUAUAAAUGCGUGUCCUGGUUCAAGCACCAUACAUGCUUGAAUGAACAGCAAAACCAUUCCAACCAGCUGCAAGUUCCUGGGACUAAAAGGAAACAACUACCACUGAAGUAACACGUGAGCCAGUGAAGACUUUGCAACUUGUCUGAUUUAUGAGAGAUUGAAUUAACUCUUCAUUUUGCCAGCACCUACUGCAGAGCAGAUAGCACAGGGAUGAAGGAAUGUGUAACGUCCACCCUGUAAGAAACAGACGGGCAACAGCACUCCACAACAGCUGCAAUCUCUUCAUUUCAAGGGCAAACAGUAGGAGCAAAAUAAGUAGGAGCAAAUUGCAGUCAACACCACCUCAGUACGUAAGGGUUCUUGGAUUUUGUUGUUGUUGUUGUUGUUGUUUGCAUGUUUGUUUUAAAUUACCCAAGCAUGGAACACUUACACUGCAA